CCUGCCGGGAAAGGGAGGGAAGAUCAAGAGAUGACCCUCACCACCUCUGCUCCCUGCGAAGGACCUGCUGGAGUCGGGUCUUUAGGAGGCUGUGGUGGCCGAAUCCUUUCUCACGUGUGUUGGGCAAGGCUAAUAUUCCUUUCUGGAUUGAUACAACCCUCUCCGUUCUCUCCCUGAAGUCUAGAGUCUGUGAACGGUGCAGCCUCCCCAGCUGCUCAGCCUGUGGCCCUGAGUGGGUAAUGUUUCCUACUAUACACCAGGCGUUUCCACCGUACGGACCGCCUCCCUCUGCCUAGGACUCGGGACACCUCCCGGUCGAGGCAGCCGUCGAAGGUACUUCCGCACUUGCUGAAGCCGGCUCUUCGCCGGAGACUGAAGAAUUUGGCCCCUGGCCCGUUCGGUUCUGCAAGUCCGGGCAGGACAGCCAGAUCCAUGUGCGGCCUCCAGGUGCGUGGAAACUGGGGAUGGGAAGAGGAAGAGAGGCCUCUGGUGGUGUAGAUUUUUAAAAGGAGUGGCUUUCAAGGAGCAUGGAUUCUCUGAAGAGUCAGAUGUCUGGGCCGAAUCAAGGAAGUAUAUGCACCGUCUUCACGCCUCUCCUCAGCAAGCCGUCGAAUGUUAAGGGAACUAAAAGCAAAGCCCGGCUGCUUCUCUGCUGCAGCCAGGCUAGGAGGGUCUCCUAUCUCUGGUAUUAGAACUGCAUCCUCUCUCCUUCAAACCUCAACCCCUUACAAAGCAUGCUUAAUAAAGCAGAGGACAAAUAGCAGCUUUUGAACCAUC